GUGGGGAAUAUUGCACAAUGGGCGAAAGCCUGAUGCAGCAACGCCGCGUGAGGGACGACGGCCUUCGGGUUGUAAACCUCUUUUAGUAGGGAAGAAGCGAAAGUGACGGUACCUGCAGAAAAAGCACCGGCUAACUACGUGCCAGCAGCCGCGGUAAUACGUAGGGUGCAAGCGUUAUCCGGAAUUAUUGGGCGUAAAGAGCUCGUAGGCGGUCUGUCGCGUCCGCUGUGAAAACUGGAGGCUCAACCUCGAGCCUGCAGUGGGGACGGGCAGACUAGAGUGCGGUAGGGGAGAUGGGAAUUCCUGGUGUAGCGGUGGAAUGCGCAGAUAUCAGGAGGAACACCGAUGGCGAAGGCAGAUCUCUGGGCCGUAACUGACGCUGAGGAGCGAAAGCGUGGGGAGCGAACAGGAUUAGAUACCCUGGUAGUCC
rnacentral:rRNA from 1 species